UGGGGAAUAUUGCACAAUGGAGGGAACUCUGAUGCAGCGACGCCGCGUGAACGAAGAAGGCUUUCGAGUCGUAAAGUUCUUUUAUAUGGGAAGAUAAUGACGGUACCAUAAGAAAAAGCCCCGGCUAACUACGUGCCAGCAGCCGCGGUAAUACGUAGGGGGCUAGCGUUGUCCGGAAUCACUGGGCAUAAAGGGUUCGCAGGCGGAAAUGCAAGUCAGGUGUAAAAGGCAGUAGCUUAACUACUGUAAGCAUUUGAAACUGCAUAUCUUGAGAAGAGUAGAGGUAAGUGGAAUUUUUAGUGUAGCGGUGAAAUGCGUAGAUAUUAAAAAGAAUACCGGUGGCGAAGGCGACUUACUGGGCUCAUUCUGACGCUGAGGAACGAAAGCGUGGGUAGCAAACAGG
rnacentral:rRNA from 2 species